UUUUUUUUUUUUUUUUUUUUUGGUUCUUUGAAACAUUGCUGAUUCUUUUUGUUUUGUUUUUCAGAGUCUGGAGAACACUUUUUCUUUUGAGCUGUUUACAACCUUUAGCAAUUGAGUAGAGUGUACUCUUGUCAAUAGAAUUUGAAGCACAUUUCUCUCUCUGCCUGAUUUCUGUAGAAUUUGUAAACUAUUUGUGAAUAUUCUUAAUUUAUGGCAAUAUGGUUGCUUACAUAAGUUCAAUAAUAAUCUGUUUUCUUUUACAAUGAGACACAGUUGGAGGAACUGGUUAUUUUCCCAGGGCUUUGACUGAAAUGGCCUUGUGAAUGGUUCCAGGAAAGCCAAUUUUGGAGACCCUAUGUGGAUGAUGAUGCUUGCUGUACUUUCUGUGGGUAAUCGGGCCAAGUAUAUGGGACUGAAGCUAAUUUUGCAGGUGAGAAAAUGGAGGUCCAGAGAGAAAAGUGACUCACCCAAGCUGAAAACAGUUGCAGGAAGAAAAGCCAGGACAGAACUGGGCUGUUAGAAACCUUGGAGUACACUAAAGAUGAGGAACUGAGUCACCGCAAUGCCAAAUGUAACACGCUGUGGGUCAAAAUUUGGAUGGUUGCGUUGGAAAUUAUUCUGAAGCCACAGACAGGGCUAAAAGAGUCUAGAAUGUCCUACUAGCUGUUGGAACCUGCUGGAGUUCUAAAGGCAUGCGAUGUCCUGAAUGUGCUUGACCAAUGGACACAGCAGGUAUUUGAAGAGUUUUGAUGCUUCCUUUCUGUUUUCAGUGCUAUUUUUUUGCUUUAUUUCUUUUAAAAAACUUUCCCCACAGAGGCUAUUUAUUACACAGCAGCAGCCAGCAUGCACCAAGCAGAACUGCUUUUCAUAAUAAACCUAUUUAUCUUCUGGCAUGUCAGAAAUUUCUCAAAUUGAUACUUAUAAUAAAUAUGAUUAAUAACACAUUGUAUUUCAGUUGUUGCCGUAAAAUAAUUGGGAAUAAAUAUCGUAUUGUGAUGUUGACAGUGUCAGGUUGGUUGGUGCCAAACAGCGGGAGCAGCCAACUGUAUUUCAUUAACAGCCACAUUGCUACAAUGCUAUUAAGUUUUUCAUAAUCUCUUCUGCUCAAGGUUGAUCAUUCAUUCUGUUAGACAAAUUCUUGCAACAAUCACACUGGAAGUAAAUCUGCCAGCGACAAUCUCAGCAAGAUGGGUUCUCA
rnacentral:lncRNA from 10 species